CUUACUUCUCUUGAUGAAUAAUUAGCAAGUUUAAUGGAACUUGAAAAUAUUAGUUAUCCAGACAAAUGUGCUCUUGUUUUCAGUGUAUUUUUAUAACUCUUUUGUAAUGUCUUUGUUAUCAGAGCCCUUCAAAUUAAAAAUAGUGAUGGUGAUCUUGUCAAUGCUGAGAUUUUAAUGCAUCACCAGCCAUUACAUCUGUCUGGAUCAGGAUUGAAGAAGAAUCAGACAGCAAGGGUUGUCAGAUCAGAAACGUAAUAACACAAACAUAAGAAACUUCACAGGGCUGUGACAGUGACAGUAUUUUACCACCGCGAUGGUAAUGCACCAAUUCACCACUGUGGUGCGGUGGUUAUAGAAUGUGUUUGUGUGAGGGGGGAGGCGGCAAUUUCUUUUUCCGCCGGUGGUUGCUCAUCACAACCUCAAGCUUUACUUCGCAACGCCAGGUGCUCUAGAUUCUGGAGCGCUCAAAGGCUUUGAAGAGGUGGAAAGUGGCGCAGUCACGUUUUCGUGUGAAUUGUGAAGUUAAAGGCAGAUCACCGUGCAACUUGGUGAAGUCAUGUGUCUUUCCAGAUGGCCAAAUCUGUACCCCUCAAAAAAACUUUAUUAAAUGCCAUGAUAGACAAGAUGAGCCUUAAGAGGAGAUUUGGGAAGAUGCUGUUUCAUAAGUCUUUGCUUUGCCAGAUUAUCUGUGGUUGGGGUGUCUGCCAACGUGAUGCCUUGCUGGUCUGGUUUGAGUUUGAAGUCUCUCUCAGACAGUCCAGAAGGUCUGGAGUCCAUCUUAGCUUUCAUUGAACCCUUUAAGGUGUAGAAACAUCAAGACCAAUAGGAGACACCUGAGCUAAAUUCCAGAUGCUGUCAUCAUUUUUUAAGUGCAUGAGCCAGAAUGGACGGGUGGUGGUGGCCAUAAGAAGACUGUCAACUAAACUAGGGUGACCAUACGUGCCAUUCUUCCCGGACCCGUCCUGUCCAGUCUUUUGGAACUCGUAUUUGUCGACCGCAUACGUCACAGAGGAUUAUUAUUAUUAUUACAGAAAAGCAACCGUUACAUUUUAAGGUAAGAAGAAUGAAACUACGAUUGUAUAUCUUAUGUUUUUAACUGAAUGGCGUAUGCGGUCAACAAAUACGACUUCCGGAAGACGCACCGAAAUCCUGGACGGGAUGCGUCCGGGAAGAAUGGCACGUAUGGUCACCCUAACUAAACCAACAACAAAAUUCAUAUUUGCAGUUAUAAAUAAAAUGACUUUUAAACCUGAUUUUGUUUUCUUAUUUUAUGAUUUCAUUCUAUAUUUGGAAUAUUCAAUUUUUGCACUACUAACUGGAAACUGUUUGAAAGAAUGUGUUUUUAUUAAAAGACAAAUUUCAAAGGUGAAUCAUAUGCCGGCUGGGAUAUCAAAAUAGCAUUAAAAUGACAUCAACAUCAUAACAUCCUGAUAUCAAAUAGAUGUAGAAUUGACAUC